UCUCAUAACCUAAUCGAAUUUGACCUAAUUGAAUCCAAUUCAAUUAUACUUGUCCAGAUUUUAAUGCUCCAUCAAAUUAAGUUAAUCAAUAAUCUAAUUAUUGAUUAAUCCUCCUAAAUAUCACUGACUCUCAGUGAAUUAAUUUAUGACAACUAUUGCAUAAGGUUAAUCAUCAAUCAUAUUGACAACUUUAUCCUUGAAUGAUUCUCAAUCGUCAAUCAGCCA
rnacentral:lncRNA from 1 species